AAACAUGAAGCGAACAACCCUGUAUCACCCAUGAGGGGCGCAUCGAGGCAUGUGUGUGUGUGUGUGUGCGUGCGUGCACUCAGCUAACGAAAGAAGAACGGCAUAAAAAGACAAGAGAGGGCAUCACAUCGCGGUGCGUCUUAUUCUUGCCAAGUAGUAUCUCCUUUACCUCGUUCUCCUGUGUGUGUGCUUUCAAUGUGCUCUUGUCAUGGCGCGAUGGAUCGGAUGGAGAGGGCAGAGGAGGAUCGACGAGCGCCGUGACUGUCUCUCUGGUUUUCUAUGAUUCCUGAGGAACGAAGUUUUUUUUUUUUUUUGGGCGUGGCAGCGCUUCUGAUGUAUAUGCAUAUGUGUUUGUGUGCCUGCUUUACGGCGGAAACGCAUGCGCUGUACAGUCGUCUGGGUGCAAACAGGUGGUUGUGGCCGUGAAGCGAGAGCGCGUAGACACGUAUGUGUGUGUGUGUGGUUCUUCUUUCCCUUUUUUCGCGAUGAGUGCCCACCUCUCCCCCGAAACAGACGCCCUCACGCACAUAUAUAAGCCGCCACACUCCUCCCCCUCCCCUCUCUCUUUCUUAUGUAUUUCUUCUCCCCUCCUCUCGCCCUUUUCUUCCCUUUUGUUUUGUUCCACCCGCCUUCCCGCUCUCCCUCUUCGUGCUUGUGCGUCGACAUCUGCUGCUUGGCAACAUGUAACUCUCCCGCUCCUGUAAG
rnacentral:misc_RNA from 1 species